UACGUAGGGGGCAAGCGUUGUCCGGAAUCAUUGGGCGUAAAGCGCGUGUAGGCGGCCCGGUAAGUCCGCUGUGAAAGUCGGGGGCUCAACCCUCGAAUGCCGGUGGAUACUGUCGGGCUAGAGUGCGGAAGAGGCGAGUGGAAUUCCUGGUGUAGCGGUGAAAUGCGCAGAUAUCAGGAGGAACACCAAUUGCGAAGGCAGCUCGCUGGGACGUUACUGACGCUGAGACGCGAAAGCUAGGGGAGCGAACAGG
rnacentral:rRNA from 1 species